rnacentral:rRNA from 2 species
ACACGUUUCCGUAGGUGAACCUGCGGA